rnacentral:rRNA from 1 species
UACGUAGGUGGCAAGCGUUGUCCGGAAUUAUUGGGCGUAAAGGGCGCGUAGGCGGCCUUCUUAGUCGAACGUGAAAUCCCCGGGCUCAACCCGGGAACUGCGUCCGAUACUGGAAGGCUCGAAUCCGGGAGAGGGAUGUGGAAUUCCAGGUGUAGCGGUGAAAUGCGUAGAUAUCUGGAGGAACACCGGUGGCGAAGGCGACAUCCUGGACCGGUAUUGACGCUGAGGCGCGAAAGCCAGGGGAGCAAACGGG